rnacentral:rRNA from 1 species
GACGAACGCUGGCGGCGUGCUUAACACAUGCAAGUCGAACGGAAAGGCCCUGCUUUUGUGGGCUGCUCGAGUGGCGACCGGGUGAGUAACACGUGAGUACCCUGCCAUUGCCUUUGGGAUAACUUCAGGCAACUGGGUGUAAUACCGGAUAGGAGCUCCUGCUGCAUGGUGGGGGUUGGAUAGUUUCGGCGGUUGGGGAUGGACUAGCGUCCUAUCAGCUUGUUGGUUGGGUAGUGGCUUACCAAGGCUUUGCCGGGUAGCCGGCCUGAGAGGGUGACCUGCCACGUUGGGACUGAGAUGCGGCCCAGACUCCUACGGGAGGCAGCGGUGGGGAAUAUUGCACAAUGGGCGGAAGCCUGAUGCAGCAACGCCGCGUGCGGGAUGACAGCCUUCGGGUUGUAAACCGCUUUCGCCUGUGACGAAGCGUGAGUGACGGUAAUGGGUAAAGAAGCACCGGCUAACUACGUG